rnacentral:tRNA from 1 species
GCCCCUAUAGCUCAAUUGGAUAGAGCGUCGGCCUCCGAAGCCGAAGGUUACUGGUUCGAUUCCAGCUGGGGGUA